UACGGAGGGGGCUAGCGUUGUCCGAAGUUACUGGGCGUAAAGCGCGCGUAGGCGGGUUGGUAAGUCCGCUGUGAAAGCCCGGAGCUUAACUCCGGAGGGUCGGUGGAUACUGCCAGUCUUGAAGGUGCUAGGGGGAGAUGGAAUUACCGGUGUAGCGGUGAAGUGCGUAGAUAUCGGUAGGAACACCAGUGGCGAAGGCGGUCUCCUGGGGCAUUCUUGACGCUGAGGCGCGAAAGCUGGGGGAGCAAACGGG
rnacentral:rRNA from 1 species